rnacentral:rRNA from 1 species
GCUUGUCUCAAAGAUUAAGCCAUGCAUGUCUUAGUGUAAAUAACUCUUAUGAAACUGCGAAUGGCUCAUUAAAUCAGUUAUCAAAUACGUGAUGGUCGCCUACUACAUGGAUAACCGUAGUAAUUCUAGAGCUAAUACAUGCACUCGAGCCUCGACCGAGGCCCCGGCAACGGGGUCGCGGAAGAGGUGCUUUUAUUAGAUCAAAACCAGUCGGGGAAACGAUCGCCGGGUCAAACCGGUCGGUCGCGGAACCGUACCAAUUUUGGUGACUCUGGAUAACUUCACGCCGAUCGCACGGCCUUCGCGCCGGCGACGUAUCUUUCAAAUGUCUGCCUUAUCAACUGUCGAUGGUAGGUUACGCGCCUACCAUGGUUGCAACGGGUAACGGGGAAUCGGGGUUCGAUUCCGGAGAGGGAGCCUGAGAAACGGCUACCACAUCCAAGGAAGGCAGCAGG